rnacentral:tRNA from 1 species
GGUGUAGCUCAGUGGCAGAGCACUUGUUUAGUAUGCAUAAGGACCUGGGUUCAUUCCCCAGCACC